UAUUCUUUACACACUCUUUGAUUUAGACAAACAGAACUAUUCAAAAGACAAAAAGGAAGUAAGAGUGCAGAUGGAAUUAAGCAAUUGCAGGGGAUCCUGAAUGCAGUUCAAGAAAGAUCUGGAAUUGGGAAGCCUGGCAUCCACAGCCCUUCUAACAUCAGACGCAUCAGGCAAGACGUGAGGACUCUCAUUCUGAGCAGCAGCACAGCAGGAUCAGCACAGUGAACAGCAAUCAGAACUCUCGGCCAUAAAACACAGUCAUUGUGUUUCCCAGAUUUCACUGGAUUCAAUUUUCUGGCAUUUUGGUGAAGACUUUCCUACUGCAGUGUCUUAGGAUCUGAGGCAGGGUGAUGACUGGUCUCCUUCAGCAAGGCCAGUUUCUUUCCUUCUGUUUACCAGAGGCAGCCAUGCAAUCCUUACAUUUCCGGUUUAAACAUUUGA